rnacentral:rRNA from 1 species
AACGAACGCUGGCGGCAUGCCUAACACAUGCAAGUCGAACGAGACCUUCGGGUCUAGUGGCGCACGGGUGCGUAACGCGUGGGAACCUGCCCUUAGGUUCGGAAUAACUCCCCGAAAGGGGUGCUAAUACCGGAUAAUGUCUUCGGACCAAAGAUUUAUCGCCUUUGGAUGGGCCCGCGUUGGAUUAGCUAGUUGGUAGGGUAAAAGCCUACCAAGGCGACGAUCCAUAGCUGGUCUGAGAGGAUGAUCAGCCACACUGGGACUGAGACACGGCCCAGACCCCUCCGGGGGGAGGAAUGGGGGAAUAUUGGGCAAGGGGCGAAAGCUGGAACCAGCAAUGCCCGGGGAGUGAUAAAGGCCUUAGGGUUGAAAAGCUCUUUUACCCGGGAGGGUAAGGAACGUACGGGGAGAAUAAGCUCCGGCAAAUCCCGU